GAUGAACGCUGGCGGCGUGCCUAAUACAUGCAAGUCGAGCGAAUGGAUUAAGAGCUUGCUCUUAUGAAGUUAGCGGCGGACGGGUGAGUAACACGUGGGUAACCUGCCCAUAAGACUGGGAUAACUCCGGGAAACCGGGGCUAAUACCGGAUAACAUUUUGAACCGCAUGGUUCGAAAUUGAAAGGCGGCUUCGGCUGUCACUUAUGGAUGGACCUGCGUCGCAUUAGCUAGUUGGUGAGGUAACGGCUCACCAAGGCAACGAUGCGUAGCCGACCUGAGAGGGUGAUCGGCCACACUGGGACUGAGACACGGCCCAGACUCCUACGGGAGGCAGCAGUAGGGAAUCUUCCGCAAUGGACGAAAGUCUGUCGGAGCAACGCCGCGUGAGUGAUGAAGGCUUUCGGGUCGUAAAACUCUGUUGUUAGGGAAGAACAAGUGCUAGUUGAAUAAGCUGGCAUCUUGACGGUACCUAACCAGAAAGCCACGGCUAACUACGUGCCAGCAGCCGCAGUAA
rnacentral:rRNA from 1 species